AGGCAGGACACCGCCACCUACCGGAUGGGCGGGUGCUGGGCUGAGUGGGCUCGGGGAAAACAGCAGCAAUCGCUACUAGCCGCUAGCUACAAGAGGACGCAACUAAUAGGCGAAUAUACGCUUCCUGCGGCGCUGGAUUUAAAGAAAAAUAAUUUUAACACGCUUCCACACCCCAAGCCCAUGGCAACGAGAGGGGCGAUGGUCCAUGAACCUUCAUGGACGCACAGAACGUGGCUAGUCCACCAGCAACAACACCAAGUACUGGAGCCCAGAUAACAGUGAAGUCGAUAAACCAUGAUCCCCAUCACUGAACUGCGGUACUUUGUGGACACACAACCGGCCUACCGUAUCCUGAAACCAUGGUGGGAUGUGUUCACCGACUACAUCUCCAUCGUCAUGCUCAUGAUCUCGGUGUUUGGGGGGACCCUGCAGGUCACCCAAGACAAGAUGAUCUGCUUGCCCUGCAAAUGGGUGGUGGAUCAGACCUGCAAGAAGAACGUAAAUUCUACGUUCGGCCCAUCGUUUUCAUUGGAGCCUAAAGGAAUCCAGUAUGAUUUGGACCGCCACCAGUACAACUAUGUAGACGCUGUGUGCUACGAAACCAGGUUGCACUGGUUCGCCAAGUAUUUCCCUUAUCUAGUGUUACUCCACACCCUUAUUUUCCUAGCAUGUAGCAACUUCUGGUUCAAGUUCCCUCGGACGAGCUCCAAACUCGAACAUUUUGUGUCCAUCUUACUGAAGUGCUUUGACUCACCGUGGACCACUAGGGCUCUGUCAGAGACGGUGGUCGAAGAAAGCGAUCCGAAACCAAUGAAAAUGAACGGCUCGAUGGAGCACAAAGAGUCCGUCAUCAGUGAAGAUGUGGAGGCGAGUGUUCCGAUGCUCCAAAGGACAAAGACACGCCUGGAACAGGGCAUUGUGGACCGAACCGAAACUGGAGUUUUGGACAAGAAAGAAGGCGAGCAGGCUAAAGCGCUGUUUGAAAAGGUGAAAAAGUUCAGAAUACACGUGGAAGAAGGAGACAUCGUGUACCGACUGUACAUCCGUCAGACUAUUAUCAAGGUCAUCAAAUUCAUUUUGAUAAUAUGCUACACAGGGUAUUAUGUGAACGACAUCAAGUUCAGCGUCGACUGUAAUGUCGAUAUCGAGAGUCUGACAGGUUACAGUGUUUAUCGCUGUGCUCAUCCGUUGGCUACCCUUUUUAAAAUCUUGGCCUGUUUCUACAUUAGCUUAGUGGUGGUCUAUGGGCUGAUCUGCAUGUACACUCUGUGCUGGAUGCUGCGACGCUCCCUCAAGAAGUAUUCCUUUGAGUCAAUACGGGAAGAGAGCAGCUACAGCGACAUACCCGAUGUCAAGAACGACUUUGCCUUCAUGUUGCACAUGAUAGAUCAGUAUGACCCUCUUUACUCCAAGCGCUUUGCCGUGUUCCUCUCGGAAGUAAGUGAAAAUAAACUGAGGCAGCUCAACCUCAACAACGAGUGGACUCUAGACAAGCUCAGGCAGAGGAUAACCAAGAACUCCCAGGAGAAGCUGGAGCUGCACCUUUUCAUGCUCAGCGGCAUUCCAGACACAGUAUUUGACCUGAUGGAGCUGGAAGUUCUCAAACUGGAGCUGAUACCGGACGUGACCAUCCCACCGAUCAUUGCUCAGCUCGUAAACCUGCGAGAGAUGUGGCUUUACCACACCCCAGCUAAGAUUGAGGCCCCGGCGUUGGCGUUCUUGCGUGAGAAUUUGAAGUCCCUUCACAUCAAAUUUACAGACAUCAAAGAAAUUCCUUUGUGGAUUUACAGUUUGAAGAAUCUAAGUGAGCUCCAUCUUACCGGGAAUCUGAGCGCUGAGAACAACCGCUACAUUGUCAUCGACGGGCUGCGGGAACUCAAGAGGCUCAAGGUUCUUCGUCUCAAGAGCAACCUAACCAAGCUGCCUCAAGUUGUGACCGACGUGGGUAUGCAUCUCCAGAAGCUGUCAAUCAACAACGAGGGCACCAAGCUCAUGGUGCUGAAUAGCCUGAAGAAAAUGGUCAAUCUGACGGAGCUGGAGCUCAUCCGCUGUGAUCUGGAGCGCAUACCGCACUCCAUCUUCAGCUUGCACAACUUGCAGGAGAUCGACUUGAAGGACAACAACCUAAAGACUAUCGAGGAGAUCAUCAGUUUCCAGCACCUUCACAGGCUGGUCUGCCUUAAGCUCUGGUAUAAUCAAAUCGCCUACAUUCCCAUUCAGAUCGGCACACUGAUCAACUUGGAGAAACUGUACCUGAACCGGAACAAAAUUGAGAAGAUCCCCGGACAGUUGUUUUACUGCCGCAAGCUCCGCUUCCUGGACCUGAGCCAUAACAACCUAACCAACAUCCCGGCUGACAUUGGAUCCCUGCAGAACCUUCAGUACCUUGCAGUGACAGCUAACAGAAUCGAGAGCCUUCCAAAUGAGCUGUUCCAGUGCAAGAAACUGCGCACUUUGAACCUGGGGAACAACUGCCUGCAGUCUCUGCCAUCACGCUUCGGAGAGCUGACGGCCCUGACACAACUGGAGCUGAGAGGCAACCGUCUGGAGUGUCUGCCCGUGGAGCUGGCCGAGUGCCGGCAGCUGAAGAGAACUGGUCUGGUGGUGGAGGAGGACCUAUUCAACACCCUGCCCACCGAGGUCAAAGAACAGCUGUGGAGAACGGACAAGGAGGCCAUUUAAGCACGGCUGUCAGUUAAUCAAUACUCGCUGACUCGAGACAAGUCCAUGCCAACACUCAGACCGGAAGGUGUCAUGUGGAGCCAGGAAAAUGUCACCAGUUUUGUUUUCAUCGCCUCAUAGCUUCCCCGCUGUUGUUUUUCUAAUGUGUAAGGUUGUACACAAAGUCAUUAAUGAGGCUUUUUAGCAAUAAUACUCUAAUAAUCCCAAAGGAACAUUUGACAGGUUGGGCCAUUUGUUUACAUGUCAUGCAUCGCUAUGAUGGACCAUUGAAUCAAUGACAGCCUGAAGUGUGGAACCCAUAGACAUCACCAGACGCUGGGUUUCGUCCCUGGUGAUGCUGUGCCGGGCCUCUGCUGCAGCUGUCUUCACUUCCUGCUUGUUCUUUGGGCAUUUUCCCUUCAGUUUUGUCUUCAGCAAGUGAAAUGCAUGCUCAAUCGGAUUCAGGUCAGGUGAUUGACUUGGCCAUUACAGAAGAUUCCACUUAUUUGCCUUAAAAAAACAAUUUGGUUCCUUUUGGAGUAUGCUUCGGGUCAUUGGCCAUCUGCAUUGUGAAGCACCGUCCAAUGACUUUUGAAGCAUUUGGCUGAAUAUGAGCAUAUAAUAUUGCCCCAAACACUUCAGAAUUCAUUCUGCUGCUUUUGUCAGCUGUCACAUCAUCAAUAAAUAUAAGAAAUCCAGUUCCACUAGCAGCCAUGCAUGCCCACACCAUUACACUACCACCACCAUCCUUCACUGAUGAGGCGGUAUGCUUUGGAUCCUGAGCAGUUCCUUCCCUUCUCCAUACUCUUCUCUUUCCAUCAUUCUGCUACAAGUUGAUCUUUGUCUCAUCUGUCCAUAAGAUGUUCCAGAACUGCACAGGCUCUUUUAGAUGUUUCUUGGCAAACUCUAAUCUGGCCUUCCUGUUUUUGAGGCUCACCAAUGGUUUACACCUUGUGAUGAAACCUCUGUAUUUACUCUGGUAAAGUCUUCUCUUAAUUGUUGACUUGGACACAGAUACACCUACCUCCUGGAGCGUUUUCUUCACCUGGCCAACUGUUGUGAAGGGCUUUUUCUUGACAAGGGAAAUUAUUUUUCUGUCAUCCACCACACUUGUUUUCCGUGGUCUUCCAUGUCUUUUGGUGUUGCUGAGCUCAGCAGUGUGUUCUCUCUUUUUAAGAAUGUACCAAACAGUUGAUUUGGCCACACCUAAUGUUUUUUCUAUCUCUCUGAUGGCUUUGUUUUGAUUUUUCAGCCUAAUGAUGGCUUGCUUCACUGAUAGUGACAGAUCUUUGGACUUCAUAUUGAGAGAUGACCUCCCCAAAUUCCAAAUGAAUAUACCACACUUGAAAUGACAUCCAGGCCUUGUAUCUGCUCUUUGUAAAUGAAAUAAAUGACAAAAAAUAAGGGAAUAACACACACCUGGCCAUGGAACAGCUGAUUAGCCAAUUGUCCAAUUACUUUUGGUCCCUUAAAAAGUGGAAGGCACAUAUACAAUGUGUUGUAAUUCCUAUACCGUUCACCUGAUUUGGAUGUAAAUACCCUCAA